rnacentral:misc_RNA from 1 species
UCCGGUUUGACACCGGCAGUCUCCCUAGAGUGCCCGGCAUAACCCGCUGGUAACUAGGGACGAGGGUUGCGCUCGUUGCGGGACUUAACCCAACAUCUCACGACACGAGCUGACGACAGCCAUGCACCACCUGUGCACCGGCCCCGAAAGGCUGCCGUAUUUCUACGGCAUUCCAGUGCAUGUCAAGCCUUGGUAAGGUUCUUCGCGUUGCGUCGAAUUGAACCACAUGCUCCGCUGCUUGUGCGGGUCCCCGUCAAUUCCUUUGAGUUUAAGCCUUGCGGCCGUACUCCCCAGGCGGUCAACUUCACGCGUUAGCUUCGUUACCAAGGAAUUACUUCCCCGACAACCAGUUGACAUCGUUUAGGGCGUGGACUAC